rnacentral:tRNA from 1 species
GGGGAUGUGGCUCAAGCGGUAACAGUGCUCGCCUGGCAUGCGUGGGGCGCUGGGUUCGAUCCUCAGCACCACA